rnacentral:rRNA from 1 species
ACUAACAAGGAUUCCCCUAGUAACGGCGAGUGAAGCGGGAAGAGCUCAAAUUUGAAAUCUGGUAGCCUUCGGUUGCCCGAGUUGUAAUCUAGAGAAGUGUUUUCCGUGCCGGCCCAUGUACAAGUCCCUUGGAACAGGGCGUCAUAGAGGGUGAGAAUCCCGUCCUUGACAUGGACCCCCGGUGCUUUGUGAUACACUUUCAACGAGUCGAGUUGUUUGGGAAUGCAGCUCAAAAUGGGUGGUGAAUUCCAUCUAAAGCUAAAUAUUGGCGAGAGACCGAUAGCGAACAAGUACCGUGAGGGAAAGAUGAAAAGCACUUUGGAAAGAGAGUUAAACAGUACGUGAAAUUGUUGAAAGGGAAACGAUUGAAGUCAGUCAUGCUCUUAGGAUUCAGCCGUUCUGCGGUGUAUUUCCUUUGAGUGGGGUCAACAUCAGUUUUGAUCGAUGGAUAAAGGCACGAGGAAGGUAGCACUCUCGGGUGAACUUAUAGCCUCGCGUCAUAUACAUUGAUUGGGACUGAGGAACGCAGCAUGCCUUUAUGGCCGGGAUUCGUCCACGUACAUGCUUAGGAUGUUGACAUAAUGGCUUUAAACGACCCGUCUUGAAACACGGACC